UACGUAGGUGGCAAGCGUUGUCCGGAUUUACUGGGCGUAAAGAGCGCGCAGGCGGUCGUUCAAGUCGCGUGUGAAAGCCCCCGGCUCAACUGGGGAGGGUCACGCGAUACUGAUCGACUCGAAGGCAGGAGAGGGAAGUGGAAUUCCCGGUGUAGUGGUGAAAUGCGCAGAUAUCAGGAGGAACACCAAUGGCGAAGGCAGAUCUCUGGGCCGUAACUGACGCUGAGGAGCGAAAGCAUGGGGAGCGAACAGG
rnacentral:rRNA from 1 species